GCAAACGGGUGCGGAACACGUACACAACCUUCCUUUUAGUGGAGAAUAGCCCAGGGAAACUUGGAUUAAUACUCCGUAACAUAUAGAAGCGGCAUCGCUUUUAUAUUAUAGCAGCAAUGCGCUAGAAGAUGGGUGUGCGGCUGAUUAGAUAGUUGGCGGGGUAACGGCCCACCAAGUCGACGAUCAGUAACUGGUGUGAGAGCACGACCAGUCACACGGGCACUGAGACACGGGCCCGACUCCUACGGGAGGCAGCAGUAAGGAAUAUUGGUCAAUGGACGCAAGUCUGAACCAGCCAUGCCGCGUGGAGGAUGAAGGUCCUCUGGAUUGUAAACUUCUUUUAUCUGGGAAGAAAUCCAUUUUUUCUAAAAUGGUUGACGGUACCAGAUGAAUAAGCACCGGCUAACUCCGUGCCAGCAGCCGCGGUAAUACGGAGGGUGCAAGCGCUAUCCGGAUUCACUGGGUUUAAAGGGUGCGUAGGUGGGUAAGUAAGUCAGUGGUGAAAUCUCCGGGCUUAACCCGGAAACUGCCAUUGAUACUAUUUGUCUUGAAUACUGUGGAGGUCAGCGGAAUAUGUCAUGUAGCGGUGAAAUGCUUAGAUAUGACAUAGAACACCAAUUGCGAAGGCAGCUGGCUACACAAAUAUUGACACUGAGGCACGAAAGCGUGGGGAUCAAACAGGAUUAGAUACCCUGGUAGUCCACGCCCUAAACUAUGGAUACUCGACAUUUGCGAUAAACUGCAAGUGUCUGAGCGAAAGCAUUAAGUAUCCCACCUGGGAAGUACGAUCGCAAGAUUGAAACUCAAAGGAAUUGGCGGGGGUCCGCACAAGCGGUGGAGCAUGUGGUUUAAUUCGAUGAUACGCGAGGAACCUUACCUGGGCUAG
rnacentral:rRNA from 1 species